UACGCUGGCGGCACGCCUAACACAUGCAAGUCGAACGAAGUAGCAAUACUUAGUGGCAGACGGGUGAGUAACAUGUAGGUAUCUACCCUUUGGCCUGGAAUAACACGAGGAAACUUGUGCUAAUACUGGAUAAGUCUUUACGGAGAAAGCUUUAUGCACCAUUGGAUGAGCCUGCACUUGAUUAGUUUGUUGGUGGGGUAAUGGCCUACCAAGACUGUGAUCAAUAGCUGAUUUGAGAGGAUGAUCAGCCACAUUGGGACUGAGACACGGCCCAAACUCCUACGGGAGGCAGCAGUGGGGAAUCUUGCACAAUGGAGGAAACUCUGAUGCAGCGAUGCCGCGUGAGUGAAGAAGGCCUUUGGGUUGUAAAGCUCUUUCGUCGGGGAAGAAAAUGACUGUACCCGAAUAAGAAGGUCCGGC
rnacentral:rRNA from 1 species